AAGGGCGUGGUGUCAACGGUAGCAUGUCGGCCUCCGAAGCCGGUGGUUCUGGUUCAAAUCCAGACGUCCUUG
rnacentral:tRNA from 1 species